rnacentral:lncRNA from 1 species
GUUUUUUUCCUUCCUUUUAUUGAAUUCUUGUCAUUUUCGUGUUGGAUUUUUUUGUUUGAUUGUUCUAAAAUUGGUUAAAACAGUUCGUAGUAAGUGAUAUUUCAAUUGGCUGUUAAUAGAUGUUGCCAAUAAUUCUUAUUCUUCUUCUUUAAUGUGAUUUUUGUUUCUUGGGAUUUAUGUUCUUCCACAUGAAUGCGGGAAUAGAGGUUUGUCCUGGCUUGGAAAUUUAUCAAAUUGUAUUAGGAUCUUUUGCUUGCUAAACAUUGUUUGGAUGGUUUCUAUGUUCAUCCACAUGAAUGUGGUACUUUGCUUUCAUGUCAAUCUAUAAGUAAAGAAAUCCAAUUCUUACCCACCUUGUCUUCCUUCAUUGGUUAAAGAAAAAUAAAUGAAAUUCUAAACUUAGUGAGUGGAUACGCCAGAGUGGUUUUGAAAAACUUGCGUUUAGUUUGCGAAGAUUUUAAGGGAACUCAGAAUUUUAGUAUAAUUUGGAUGUAGGGGAACUCAGAUGCAUAAGGCAAUUACUUCUUAAAAAGAUUCCUAUGUAAUUUAUGCAAAGAAAGCAAGUACCCAAACACUAGGCUUUUAUGAAUUCAGAUCUAAGCUAGAAGUGUAGAUUAAUCAACUUUUCUGUUAGUUAGUUUGUGAGUUUGUGGUUCUUUAAAAAGCAAUUUUAGCAACUCAAUCAUCAAAAAUCAAUAGUGAUACAAGAAAAAGAAAAGCAAAAGCAAACUAUGGGAAUUUCUUCCAUGAAGUAAUUUGUUGAUUGGUUUCUUCAUGUAUUUUUAAGAGUGUGAGAAGUGAAAGUUUCAUGUUUCUAUUCCCAUCCAUAAGCACAGUUGUAAGUCUUAGCAGCUUAGGCCAUGGCAUGUUUGAUAGCAUCUUAGCUUUGGGGCUUGACCAAUCUAGGCCUGAUCACAAGUCAGAAUCCACUUGUGAGCCUAAUGAGAUGAUGUAAUCUAUCAGAUUGGAAUUGAACUUAGUCCCAUAUUGUUUAGUUAUGCAUAAUUGUAAAGCCUUGUAUAAAACAGAAACAAGAGGUUGUCCAGUAUGGCCCCUGCGUAAGGAUGACUGGCACAAAUCCAGAAAUGGUCCAAAUUUUGUUUUUAAACCUUUCUGAAGCUUUGUAACAAUGGUUUCUCUCUCUGAUUGCACAUUUUGCCUUGGAUGAUUUCUUAGCUGCUAGGAUCAGCACUGGAGAUUGCAUUCAAAAUUUCUUAGCUAUUGGUUUCUUUUUUUUUUUUCCUUUAUUAAAUGAUUGCAGUAUGACAUACUGCAGUAGGAUUUUGUGCUCCAAAAUGGUUUAGCAGCUCUAGUAUGAAUCUACUAUUCAGGACUGAAGCUCUUUGCCAUUCUGCAAAUUUAUGAAGGCUUUGUCUGUGAUUUAUUUAUUUAUUCAUUUAUUUUUAUUUUACUCUCGCUUUGCUUGCAAGAUAUUUUUCAGAUAACUCCUGAGUGGUUUUUGUUGAUAAUUAAUUAUCCAGAAAAUCAAGCACCUGGAGUUUUUUUAUUGGGUGUAAGGGGACCUAGAUGCACAAGGCCAAUUUCUUCUUACAAGUAACAUGCUUCCUAUAUAAUUUAAUACAAAUACAGAAAGUAUCCUAGUUUAGACUGUUAUGAAUUGAGAUCUAAGCUAAUAGAGCAGCUUUAACUUCAUGUUUAAGCACAGUUGUAAGUACUAGGAGCCUAGCCAACCCAUUGCAAGUUUGAUAAUGUCUUAUUAUUGGAUCUUGACCAAUCUAGGCUUGACAAGUCAGAAUCCACUUGUGGGCCUGAUGAGAUGAUGUAAUCCAUCCAUGUUGUAAAGUCAUCUAGUUGGAAUUGAACUUAGUCCCACAUCGUUUAGUUAUGUAAAGUUGAAAGCCUUUAUAAAAAUAAAACAGAAAUAAAUGGUUGUCCCUUCGGGGACAUCCGAUAAAAUUUGAAUGAUACAAAGAAGAUUAGCAUGGCCCCUGCGCAAGGAUGACACGCACAAAUCGCAAAAUGGUCCAAAUUUUUUUUUAAUCCUCCAGAUUUUUGUACCCUAGCCUUUGCUGAUUUUCAAAUGGUUUCUCUUCUGAUUUUACAUUUUUCCCUGCAAAAUUUAUUGGCAUUAAGAUCAAUACUGGACAUCAAAUCCAAAAAUUCUGUUGUUAUUUCCUUUCCUUUAUUAAAUUCUUGUUAUAUUUCACAGUGCAAUUAGGAUUUUGUUCUCCAAAAUGGUUUAGGAGCUCUAAUAUGAAUCUAUGAUUGAAGCUCUCUAUAUGCAAAUUUAUUAAUGCUUUGAGUGUCUUUGAUUUUUUUUUUACAACCUUUCUGUAGCUUUGUAACAAUGGUUUCUCUCUCUGGUUUCACCUUUUUGCCUUGCAAAAUUUCUACUACGCUCAGCACGGGAGAUUGCACUCAAAAGUUCUAUUGGUUUCUCUUUUUCCUUUAUUAAAUUUUUGCAGUAUUUCAUGCUGCAAUUAAAAUUUUGUGCCCAAAAAUGGUUUAGCAGCUCUAAUAUGAAUCCAGGGGAGUAAGGAGCAGUGAGUUGGCGCUUGAUGCCGUGCAACUCGCAGAAAUGUAUACUUGCCUCCGUGGUCUGUUCUAAACGUUUUGAGCUUACAUUCGGACUGGACUUCAAUAUGAGCUUUCACUUUCUUGAAAGCACUAAAAACCUCAUCUUUUCUUUUGAGCAUUUCAAUCCAUAUAUAAUGACUGUAAUCAUCCACGAGCAAGAGAAAAUACUUGUUUCUGCCGCAUAUGGUAGGUGAUGACGGCCCGCCCAAGUCACCAAAAACGAGUUCCAGAGAUUUGGUUGCUUGAUACUCUCCUACUUUCAGGAAACUCGUGCGAUGCUGCUUAUUGAUCACACAUUGUUCACAGACGUGCUUCACUGUUUCUAUCUCCGGUAAACCUUUCACCAUGCUUUCUUGUGCGAGCUUGCGUAAAGCUAGAUAGUUGAGGUGCCUAUAGCGUGCGUGCCAUAAGCAAGGCUUUUCAGACAACCUUGUCAGGUGGCACUCCAAUUUUGCUUGUGUCAUUCUCAUCGUGUAAAGGCGAUUUUCCGCUCUAUACACCUUGGCUAUCAACCUGUCCUUUGCGUCAUAUUCUCUCAGAAUUCCUCCUUUCACCACCAAUUUUGUUCCUGAUUCGUCGAGUUGACCGAGGCUUAUAAUAUUGGAUCUUAAUCAAGAAAUGUAGUACACGUUUGUUAGUUUGAAAUGAUCUCCGUUCUUGCACCGAAACACUGAAGUGCCUCGGCCUUCUACCUUGACGACUGAACCAUCACCGAACCUGACAUUCCCUUUCAUUGAUUCAUCGAGAUUGGUUAAGGCUAGCUUGUUACCUGUCAUAUGGUUGUUUGCCCCCGUAUCAUAAGCUCGUUCGUGCCCUACCUGUUACGUCGAUAGUUUGUUAAUAAGCACGUACCCACAUACUCUGAAUAUUUUGAAUUGUUCAGUGUUUGUUUCCUUCAACUCGAGUCUUGCGCAAUGUGGCUUCAAGCUCGGAUUAAGUUUCAUUUUUCAGUUUGUAAUGGUUGUUACAUUGAUUCAAGUAUAAAUAAGAACAAAAGGCCGAUCAAGAUUAUCGGUUAAGUUUGAAAAAUCUGAGCAAAAAACCUAAUACAAAAAUACUGCAGAAACUCAAAGUACACUGUUUGGCUCACACCCUCGGGAGUUCGUUUUUAGAGUCUACACAGUUCUCAUAAAGUCUGUCCUUUCAGCCAUUUCCACUUACACUAUGUCAAUUCUUAAGCAUCCCAGGAGUUUUUGUGAAAAGCUAAAUAGCAUGCUCUCAAGCUUCUGGUGGGGAAGUGGUGAAGACUCGAGAAAAUGCAUUAGAUUAGUUAGAAAAAAGCUUCCACUCCUAAAGCUAAAGGCGGCAUGGGUUUCAAGGAUUUCAAUCUUUUUAAUCUCGCUUGUCUUGGGAAAUAGUAUUGGAGACUUAUUCAGAAUCCGACAGCGGUUUGGGCUUGACUCAUCAAAGGUCUUUAUUUUCCAAGUACAGAUCUUUGGCAAGCUUCUCAUUCUAGAGCAGGCUCAGGGUAAACUUGUGAUUUUAAAUACGUUAUUAACUUUCUAAUUAUAUCCCUGAGCAGACAAGUUUUAAUUGCGACUGUGUAUUGGUUUAUUUGGAAAGAAAGGAACAAGGCAAUCUUUAACCACAUGCCUCCAGAUCCUAUCUUUGUGGCUUGCAAGACCCUUUCUAGUUUUCAAGAGCUAGAGUUUGUAAGAGACAUAAGCCGUUCAGUAGUGUUGUUCAUAAUUCUGGUGUUUCUGUUUGGCAAGCUCCACCUUUGGGAAUGUUAAAGUUCAAUUCUGAUGCUGCUUGGAAAUCUUAUUCUAUGCUUGCUUCUAUUGCUAUUGUGGUUCGGAACUGUUAUGGUAGAAGUUUAUAUGGUAGAAUUGGUAAGUGGUUGUUGCCGAGUCUCCUGUUGUGGUAGAAGCUUUAGGGGUCCUAGAGGCUAUGAAACUUGCUUUAGAGAUGGGAGCUAAGAAUGUUUUUAUGGAAAUAGAUUCAAAAUUGGUACAUUCGGCUGUCAUUUAAAAUUGUUUUUAUGGAAAUAGAGGCUAGCAACCUGCUGAAGCUGCUGUCCAAGGGACACAGCACAUACUGAAUCUGCCGGGCUUUUUGCAAAAUAAAGUUAAAAAAAAAAAAUAUUUCUUAAAUCCUGGUGCGCGAAAAAAUAUUUCUUAAACCAAGGUGAAUCGGUCUUCUACCGCAUUUUAUAAGUGCGGUAUUUUAUAAGUGCGGUAAGCUUUACCGCAUUUAUAAAAUGCGGUAGAGAGUCAUUGAAACAAAAUUAUAAUUUUUUUAAAUAAAAAAAAUUCUACCGCACUUUUAAAGUGCGGUAGAAUUUUUAAUAUAUUAUUUUUUAAUAAUUAAAAAUAUAUUGGCAGAGAGGGAGGGCAGAGAAAAAGUCCUCUACCGCACGAGAAUAUCAAAAAGUUAAAUUAUUUUAAUUUAUUUUAAUUUUAAAAAAAAUAAAAAUUAUACAUAAUUUUUAAUUAUUUAAUUUAUUUUUUUAUAAAAUAAAUAGAAACAUUUAUAUUUUAUAUUUUAAGUUGAUUGUUGUUCAGAAAAAGAACACUACCGCACUUUUAAAGUGCGGUAGAAGAGAGAGAAUAUAAAAAAGUUAAAUUAUUUUAAUUUAUUUUAAUUUUAAAAAAAUAAAAAUUAUGUAUAAUUUUUUAAUUAUUUAAUUUAUUUUCUCAUAAAAUAAAUAAAAAUAUUUAUAUUUUAAAUUGAUCAAAAUAUAUUUUUUAUUUUAUUAGUUGAAAUAUAUAUAUAUAUAUAUUUUAAUAAAUAAUUAUUAAUUAUUAUAUUUUUCAUUAUUAUAAUACCGCACUUUUAAAGNNNNNNNNNNNNNNNNNNNNNNNNNNNNNNNNNNNNNNNNNNNNNNNNNNNNNNNNNNNNNNNNNNNNNNNNNNNNNNNNNNNNNNNNNNNNNNNNNNNNNNNNNNNNNNNNNNNNNNNNNNNNNNNNNNNNNNNNNNNNNNNNNNNNNNNNNNNNNNNNNNNNNNNNNNNNNNNNNNNNNNNNNNNNNNNNNNNNNNNNNNNNNNNNNNNNNNNNNNNNNNNNNNNNNNNNNNNNNNNNNNNNNNNNNNNNNNNNNNNNNNNNNNNNCUUCCCUGCUCCCCAGCUCCCAUCUUCUUCCCGCUCCCCAGCUCCCCAUCUUCCCUGCUCUCCAUCUUCUUCCCGCUCCCCAUCUUCUUCCCUGCCCCUUCUUCCCUGCUCCACCUCCCCUCCCUGCUCCAUAUUUCCUUUUUUUCCAAGUUUCGCUCCUUCUUUUUUUUUUUAAAUUUUAUAUAUAAAUAAAUAAUUAUAAUUAAUAUAAUAUAUUUAAUAUAAAAUAGAUAAUAUGAUGAAUUCUUCAUUUUACGUAUUACCGCACUUUUAAAGUGCGGUAAUACAUAAAUUAAAUUAUUAAUUUAAUUAUUAAAAAUUAUAAAAAUUUUUAAUUAUUAUAAAAUUUAAUAUUCUACCGCACUUUUAGUGCGGUAGAAUUUUUAAUAUAUUUUUUUAAUAUUUAAAAAAUCUACCGCACUUUAUCAGUGCGUUAGAAUUUUUUUAUUUAAAAAAAUUAUAAUUUUGAUUUAACUGCUCUCUACCGCAUUUUAUAAGUGCGGUAAAGCUUACCGCACUUAUAAAAUGCGGUAAAGGACUGAUUCACCCUGUUCUGAGAAAUAUUUUCUCACGGAUCAGGGUUUAAGAAAUAUUUUUUUUUUUUAACUUUAUUUUACAAAAAGCCCGAAUCUACCAUAACAAAACCUGAAGUUGCUGUUCAAACAGAACCAGCAACAUACACUGUUAAAACAGAACCGAAUCAGCAACCGAAGAAAUAGCACAGAACAUUGCGGUGUUUGCCCAAACAGCCUCUGGGAUGGCUCUCUUUCAUGGCGAUGAGGAUAAUUUGUUUAAAAAAUUUGCUUUCAAGAUCUAUCAUUAUUUUUGUUUAUUUAAUAUUUUAUAAUAUCAUCAACUAACAAAAUAAUUAUUCUAAUAAAAAGUAAUAUGCCCUUUAAAUUUAAUUUAGAAUUUUUUAAAAGAAAAUACUUAUAAUUUUUAUGUAUGUCUUAAAAAUUUUGAUACAGCUAUUAGUGAUAUAGUAAUAAUAGCUAUAGUAAUAAGAGGAAAAAGAUAUCAAUUUAUAAAAUUUCUGCAGCCACACAUGUAGAAUUAUUCUUAAUUCAUCAUAAGCAUGAAUAUUAUAUGAAUCAUAAACAUAAAAUUCAUCUAACACCCUAAUAAUAAAUCUUGAAUAAAUUACAUUUCACAAAUAUAGAAAAAUAUAUUUGAUGUAAAAUUAAUUGAUCCUUCUUAAUUCAAUAAAAGAGAGCUACGAAUUUGAAUAAAUUAAUUUUUCUUUUGACCCUUUUAAUUUUAUAUAAUCUUUAGUGAUGGAGACUUUCUAAUAGACAUUAUCUUAAUAUCUGGAAUGAAAACUUUGUUUGCCUUUGAGAAAGACGAAAAAGAAAGAAAAAUUUUAAAAGCAGUAGAAAAAAAAAGAGUAAAUUUAUGAUCUUGGUGUGUGCGUAUUAUGUAUACUAUGAAAAAUAAAAUACACAACUUUGGUUAUUUAAAUCAUUCGCUAAAUGGAUUAAACGUUAUUGUUUUUCAGUUGAAUUAUUUGAAAUGCUGAAGAGCCAUCUGUUAUUUUAUAAAAUUUACAAAUUUUAAAUUUUUUAUUAAAUGUUAUACUCUGAAUUAAUUUUUUACUUUCAAUCUUAUAAUUUUUUUAUCCCUUUUACAUAUAUUAAAAAAAAAAAAUUUUAUUCACUUUCUAAUUAUAUCUAUUUUAAAUAUAUUAAUAAAAUAUUUUAAAUAUUCACUUAAACUCUAUUUAUUUAUAAAAAAUAACUUGUAUUUUAAAGAUUUCCAAAACAUAAUACUAUUAUGAUCAUGGUAUUUUAAAUUAUGUAUCAAUACUUAAAAAUUUCUAUUUGGAUGAUUUUUAUUUUUAUUAUUAUAUUUUAAUAUUUAAAUUUUAUUUGUUUCAUAAAAAAUAUUUUUUAUAUUUUUUGGUGUUUGAAGCAUUCAAAAAAUUUAGUUAAUAAAAAUUAUUGUUCUGAUUAAAUAAAAAAAUUAAAUAUUUUAAAGAAAAUAACUUAAAAUAAAAGUUAUUUCCGAACAUUUGAUAAAAAUAUCAAAUUCUAUUUAUACAAAUUUUUAAUAAAUUUUAAUUUUAAAUUUUUACAUUUAAAUUAAUAUUAAAUAAUAAAAAAAAUAUCUCAAUACUUUUUAUAAAAAAUAUUUUUUAAAUAUAAAUUAUUUUCUGCAAAUAAAUAGAGAUUUAUAAUUAAAAGAAUUUUCAUUUAUAUUAUACACGUUGGAAAAAGAAGCAAGCAAUUUGAUGGACCGAAAAAUAAUCUAGACCGAUGUUGGGCCGAAAAUGUAUUUGAUUUUGGGCAUGAAAGCCCAUUAAAUGUCCAUCAAAUACAUUAGGUAAAAUCACAAGUUUGCCUGCUCAGGGUUUGCGUUUCGAUUUCACUCCAUCCUCAAACAGAUCAUACACAUUACACGCAGUACACACCGUAUUCUCUAUUCCUUGUGAUGAAUCUUGAUGCGUUGGAUUCAUCUGAUGAUCAUGGGAUCUCUUUUGUCAACGGUUAAAACUUAUUGUCACUGUACCAAUAACCAGACUCUUCCUACUCAAGGACACACGCAAUCAUCUUGAACAAUUGAUCAAUUGCCCGCCCAUAUUCACCUAUCGAGUGGGGCCACCUUAUAUUACCACAGACAGGUGUCGCACUUCCAAGCAUGAUCUACAGGUCACUGACCCUUGGUUGAGACACAUCAUCAGUGGAGGGCCCACGCGUAUGGUGUUAUCAAGGUGGCUUAAGAUGGCCAGAUAGUCAGGUGGUCUGGUUGAAAUCAAACUAAAAUCUAAACCCACAUCGUUCAUUGAGUUCAUUAUAAUAUUCUUUAUAAUGCGAAGCGAAAUGUGCAACGCUUGUCCCUUCGGGGACAUCCGAUAAAAUUGGAACGAUACAGAGAAGAUUAGCAUGGCCCCUGCGCAAGGAUGACACGCACAAAUCGAGAAAUGGUCCAAAUUUUUUUUUGAUCCAAAACCUUCUCGAUUGGCAGCUCUGCUUUUUUCGUGUCUCUCUGGUUUUUGUUCAAACACCUGUGCUGCAACAUUUCUUAGCUAUUGCCAACAGCAAGGGAGUAGAGUUCCAUUCGAGAGGUCUGUUUUUUUUUCCUUCCUUUUAUUGAAUUCUUGUCAUUUUCGUGUUGGAUUUUUUUGUUUGAUUGUUCUAAAAUUGGUUAAAACAGUUCGUAGUAAGUGAUAUUUCAAUUGGCUGUUAAUAGAUGUUGCCAAUAAUUCUUAUUCUUCUUCUUUAAUGUGAUUUUUUUUCUUGGGAUUUAUGUUCUUCCACAUGAAUGCGGGAAUAGAGGUUUGUCCUGGCUUGGAAAUUUAUCAAAUUGCAUUAGGAUCCUUGUGCUUGCUAAACAUUGUUUGGAUGGUUUCUAUGUUCAUCCACAUGAAUGUGGUACUUUGCUUUCAUGUCAAUCUAUAAGUAAAGAAAUCCAAUUCUUACCCACCUUGUCUUCCUUCAUUGGUUAAAGAAAAAUAAAUGAAAUUCUAAACUUAGUGAGUGGAUACGCCAGAUUUUG